UUGGGAAUUUUGGACAAUGGGGGAAACCCUGAUCCAGCCAUCCCGCGUGUGCGAUGAAGGCCUUCGGGUUGUAAAGCACUUUUGGCAGGAAAGAAACGUCAUGGGUUAAUACCCCGUGAAACUGACGGUACCUGCAGAAUAAGCACCGGCUAACUACGUGCCAGCAGCCGCGGUAAUACGUAGGGUGCAAGCGUUAAUCGGAAUUACUGGGCGUAAAGCGUGCGCAGGCGGUUCGGAAAGAAAGAUGUGAAAUCCCAGAGCUCAACUUUGGAACUGCAUUUUUAACUACCGGGCUAGAGUGUGUCAGAGGGAGGUGGAAUUCCGCGUGUAGCAGUGAAAUGCGUAGAUAUGCGGAGGAACACCGAUGGCGAAGGCAGCCUCCUGGGAUAACACUGACGCUCAUGCACGAAAGCGUGGGGAGCAAACAGG
rnacentral:rRNA from 1 species